rnacentral:rRNA from 1 species
UAAACAAUUCACCGAAGCUGUGGAUUGACAUCUACGAUGUCAGUGGUAGGAGAGCGUUCUAAGUGCGUUGAAGUCAGACCGGAAGGACUGGUGGAGCGCUUAGAAGUGAGAAUGCCGGUAUGAGUAGCGAAAGACGGGUGAGAAUCCCGUCCACCGUAUGACUAAGGUUUCCUGAGGAAGGCUCGUCCGCUCAGGGUUAGUCGGGACCUAAGCCGAGGCUGAAAAGCGUAGGCGAUGGACAACAGGUUGAUAUUCCUGUACCACCGAUGUUCGUUUGAGAGAAGCGGGGACGCAGGGGGAUAAGUCGUGCCGGCUGCUGGAAUAGCCGGUCCAAGCGAGGUAGAAAGUCCUGUAGUGAAGUACGCAGGAUGAUUCGAAGACGUGAUGGGGAGGGAAAUUAGAGUACCGAAGUGACGGAUUCCGCACUGACGAGAAAAGCCGCUAUCGAGAACAAAGGUGCCCGUACCGCAAACCGACACAGGUAGAUGAGGAGAGAAUCCUAAGGCGAUCGGAAGAAGGGUUGUUAAGGAACUCGGCAAAUUGAUCCCGUAAGUUAGCAAGAAGGGAUGCUCUUGGCAACAAGAGCCGCAGAGAAUAGGCCCAGGCAACUGUUUAUCAAAAACACAGGUCUCUGCUAAAUCGUAAGAUGAAGUAUAGGGGCUGACGCCUGCCCGGUGCUGGAAGGUUACGGGGAAUUGUUAGCGUAACAGCGAAGCAAUGAACUUAAGCCCCAGUAAACGGCGGCCGUAACUAUAACGGUCCUAAGGUAGCGAAAUUCCUUGUCAGGUAAGUUCUGACCCGCACGAAUGGCGUAACGAUUUGGGCACUGUCUCAACAGCCCGCCCGGCGAAAUUGUUGUACUGGUGAAGAAGCCAGUUACCCGCAACUAGACGGAAAGACCCCAUGGAGCUUUACUGUAGCUUAAUACUGAAGAUCGGUAAUGCAUGUACAGGAUAGGUGGGAGCCAGAGAAACCCGGGCGUCAGCUCGGGCGGAGGCGACGUUGGAAUACCACCCUUGUAUUGCUGGUUUUCUAACCUGCGGCCGUGAAUCCGGUCGGGGGACACUGUUAGGUGGGCAGUUUGACUGGGGCGGUCGCCUCCAAAAGUGUAACGGAGGCGCUCAAAGGUUGGCUCAGCACGGACGGAAAUCGUGCAUAGAGUGCAAACGCAUAAGCCAACUUGACUGCGAGACCGACGGGUCGAGCAGGUACGAAAGUAGGAGUUAGUGAUCCGGUGGUAUGUGAGUGGAAAUGCCAUCGCUCAACGGAUAAAAGCUACCCUGGGGAUAACAGGCUGAUCUCCCCCAAG